rnacentral:rRNA from 1 species
UGCGUAGGUGGUCUCUUAAGUCAGGAGUGAAAGGCUACGGCUCAACCGUAGUAAGCUCUUGAAACUGGGAAACUUGAGUGCAGGAGAGGAAAGUGGAAUUCCUAGUGUAGCGGUGAAAUGCGUAGAGAUUGGGAGGAACACCAGUGGCGAAGGCGACUUACUGGGCCGUAACUGACGCUGAGGCGCGAAAGCGUGGGGAGCGAACA